AGAGUUUGAUCCUGGCUCAGAACGAACGUUAGCGGCGCGCUUAACACAUGCAAGUCGCACGAGAAAGGGCUUCGGCCCCGGUACAGUGGCGCACGGGUGAGUAACACGUAGGUAAUCUGCCCUUGAGUGGUGGAUAACCCCUCGAAAGGGGGGCUAAUACAGCAUAAGACCACGUCCUCGAGAGGGGAUGAGGUCAAAGUGGGCCUCUUCAUGAAAGCUCACGCUUGGGGAUGAGCCUGCGGCCCAUCAGCUAGUUGGUAGGGUAACGGCCUACCAAGGCGAAGACGGGUAGCUGGUCUGAGAGGAUGAUCAGCCACACUGGAACUGAGACACGGUCCAGACUCCUACGGGAGGCAGCAGUGGGGAAUCUUGCGCAAUGGGCGAAAGCCUGACGCAGCGACGCCGCGUGGGUGAUGAAGGCCUUCGGGUUGUAAAGCCCUGUGGGGAGGGAAGAAUAGGCGGCGGAUAAUACCCGCCGUGAUGACGGUACCUCCUAGCAAG
rnacentral:rRNA from 1 species